AAAGGGCGCUCUCCUGGGCAGAGGGCGCAGCCCAUCACAUGUCAGGGCGGAGGAGAGGGAGCCGCUCCUCGGGGGACCCCAGCCUGCUCUCCUCGGGGUAACUGGUGCCCCUUGGGAAGCCUGUGUUCUGCCUCUGCGGAGCGGGGCUCCGUGAGAAGCCGGGCUGCGCGUCACCGCACUGAGCCCCAGAGAGACAGGACGAGUUUAAGAGGGUGUGCAUGUCUGAACUUCACGCUGAAUCAAAAUCCUUUUCCUCCAAAGUCGGAUGUCGUUGGUGGGUGAAGGGACAAGGCCAGCGAGGGGUGAGGGGACCUGAUCCUGCACGUGGAGAGGGUGGAGGGAGGAGGGCUCGUUGAAGUUACAGCUCGCUGCGGCAGAGGAUGGGGGGGCCAGUGUCGCUUUUUGCCUCCUGGGGUCUCCAGCUACCUCUCUCUCACCUCCCUGCCCCGCCCCAGCCCAGCCUGAACUGCCCUGGCCCCUCUUCUCGGCCCCAGGGCUCCCCAGGUCACAGACAGACGGCCAGGCAGACCAGAGCCUGGCCCUGGGUCGGGGCAGGGAAGCCAGGACGCGCUCCAAUCUGCCGCCGCUCAGACUAGCGCUUGGAGAGGCUAGAGUUCAGGAGCUGAGCAAAAAUAAACACGGGCUAUAAAUAAGCCCGUAGAUGUCUUCAAGGCCCGAGCGCGACGAGGAGAGGGUGCCACCGCAGAAGUGCUCACUUGAAAAAUUCUAAACGCGUCAAAAUAACUUUGAUAAACUCGCAAAGACGCCUGGCUCAGGGGAAAGGAAUGGGCCCCGCGCCCCGAGAGCCCACUUCCCGCGCCGCCGGGAGGGCCACCGCGGGGCGGGCGGGGCGCGGGGUCCCCUCCGGCGCCGCUGACUCACCGCGGCCCGCGCCUUAAAAGGGCAGUCGCUUCCGGGGCCGACCCGGCGUGGCCGUGGGGGGUGGAGGGGGCUCGUUGUCACCUCCUGUGCCCUCGCUCGGAGUGGCACCCCUUCCACUUCAAGGCUGACCGCUAUGCCUGAUCCUACGUCUUUCAACCCGCCUCUCCCUGGAGGAGGCCGUGGACUCCCACGGCGCCCGCGGUCACCCAUCCUCGAUGAGCCUGGACUCUUCAGCCUGGGCCCCCUCUAAACUUCUACGUGAAUGUCCACGGCUUUCCGGGAGCCGCUCCCUCAGUCCAAGUCCCUCGCAGCUCCUCCACUCAUCGCUGUAAACUGGCCGUGUCAGAGAGCUGGAGUCAUCGCCCCUGCACCCUCCCUAGCUGGUGACCAAGCAGACACCCUCCCUCACCUUUGAACUCUGUCCCCUCCAGACUCUUGCUUCGUCGUUGGUCACGUGCCCAGGCCUCCUCUGCUCUGACUCUCUCAUCCACCUCUUCCGUCCUGUGAACUCCUGGGUCAAGCCUCCGCCCGCACUUGCUUCUCAGGCCCUGUUGGCCUGGCUUCCUGCCUGGGGCCCCUCGCCCACCCAGAGCUGCCGUGGACGUGAUCAGGUAGUGGCACUCGUCGCUGUGGCUGAAGCCAGGUCCCUGCCAAGCCUGUCAGCAGGGGAGGGAGAAGGGAGAGUGAAGGGGGGUCGUGCCAGUGUGUCAAGACCCCACCAGGACAUUGCACACCUGAUGGGAGCUCACACCGGCCAGAACUUGGUCACAUAGCCCCACUAGCUGCAAGAGAUGCUGGGAAAUGUCGUUUCUAGCAGGGUGGUCCUGUGUCCACCUCUCACAGCUGCCUGCUCCGGCCGAAGUCAUUGCCAUCUGCUCAGAUGGAAUGGAAACGAGGAUGUAUUGGGCACUUGCCGUGUGCCAGACAUUGUGAUGGCCAUUUUCCGACGUCAUCCCCUUUCACCUUCACCAGUGUUUUACCUACACUGAGACAGCUGGGCCCAGCUUGGCUGGGCUGCUGCCUCCCGAGUCAUGCUCUGCGGAAGUCCUCCGUCUCAGGGCGCCUCUCUAGGUUAUUUUUUUGCAUGUCUGCCUCCCCCACUGAGUAUGUGCUUAAUAAAUGCUCUACUAAGUGGUGAAUCAGAGUGGGUUCAUUAAAUUAGCUCGUGAAAAUUACAUAAUGUCACCUCACUGGGUUAUGUUGUAGGCUAUUUUUGUUUUUCCUCCUUUGUCCCCUGAGGAGUAAUUAGCUGUCAGUCCCUGCAAGCGCUCAGGCAGAGUGUGGAAGCCCACCUCAGGGAGGUUGUAUUGGAUUAGAUGAACCCCAGGACCCCCACAGUCCCAAGGAGCUGUAUUUCGCCUCCACCUCAAUCACAACUUUUGGCGAUAAUUUUCAUUCUUCCACUCGGCAAAUCUGUGCUAAGGGCCGCCCAGUCCCAGGUCCUCUCAGUGCUGAGCACUCAGUCGUGUACUAAGGAGGCCCCUGCUCUCAGGAACGAGCAUGGGAUGAAAAGACAGAUAGUAAACCCACCGACAAGAAGACAGAUGGCAACUCAGACAGAGAUAAGAGCCAAGAAGAAAAUAAAAGAGGACAAGAUGAGAACCACAUGCCUGAGGACCAGGGAAGGCCUCUCCAAGGAGAUGACAAUUCAAGGGACACCGAAUGAGAGAAGGGACAGCCGUGGACAGCUUUCCCAGCAGAGAGAACAAGCCCCAUUUGGAGUGUCUGAGGUUCCCAGAGCAGCCAGGGUGGCCAGAGCAGAGCAGGCGAGGAGAGAGAUGGGAGAGCCAGGUAGGGGCCAGGUGGCACAGAGACGCACAGACCAGGGGGCGGGACCUAUUCUAAUGGGACAAUAAGUCACGUCCAACUAUGAGCCGGGCAGUGAUGCGAUUCUAUUUAGAUUGUUGGACAGUUGUCCCAGCUGUUGUGUAGAAGGUGGAUUUUGUAGAGCUGGAGUGGAAGUGGGCUCCCGAUGGGAACAUUUUUGAAUGGUCCACCAGAGAGCUGACGGAGGCUGUGACCAGGGUGAUAGCAGUGGAGACGAGAAGCGGCAGGUCUGUGUUCUGUGAACAGCCCACAGGUCUUUCUGAAAAUGCUUCUUUUUAGAUAGCUACCACGUCCUCAUCUCCUGGGGCAUUAACAUGUAUCAUUACAUCCCCUGGAAUCAAGGGCUCACAGCACAGGACCGUGUGGUGGUCAGUGUGACAGCCCCCCUCCCAGGCUCGAAGGCUGCGUCUUGUCUGACUGCAGAUUAUACUCAUGGGUGGGCUCUUCACCUUGGCCUGAAUCCCUCUUUGGGUGGAGAUGAUCAUAGACAGUAGCCCUGCCUCCAUCAAGCUCAGUCCCAUUGGAGAGACAGACAGUGAACAAAUAAAGACAAAAAUACAUGUAAAAUGACACCUGUGAGGAGAGGUACACAAUGUCAGGACACACAAGAGGGGCUUUGACCCCUAAGAGCAGUCAAGGGAGGCUUUCAGGAAGCACUGCUGGAGCUGACACUGGGAGGAAGGAGUGGGGUGGAGGCAUGUCAGCAGAGUCUGACAUGUGCAAAGGCUCUGGGGCAGGAGGGUCAGUGUUCCUUCCAGGAACCAUUAUUGAGCAGAUAGCAAGGAAGGUUGGAUGGGGACCAGUGUGGGUGUGUGUGUGUCUGUAGCAGAAGAUGGAGGCGUUCCUUUAGGGUCUCCGGUCACCUGUGAGGAUGGGCAAGCAGCUCAGAGGCUUGGAGAGCAGAGAAGGUUGAUAAAGGCAUUGUGAAAACAGCAUUUCCCACACUAUUCCUGGUUUGAGGGAAAGCUCUGUUGUGAAAAUGCAUAUUUGACCCAAAGAUAGUAAGUUUCAUUUGAAGCCAAUGGAUUGUGAUCCAAGUUCUGAACUCUCUCCACUAGCCUAAAAGCGAUCAUCAUAUAAAAUCAGUCUAGCACUGGGGCCGGCCCCGUGGCCGAGUGGUUAAGUUUGUGCGCUCCACUUCAGCGGCCCAGGUUUUCGCCGGGUCAGAUCCUGGGCGCAGGCCUAGCACUGCUCCUCAAGCCAUGCCGAGGUGGCGUCCCACACAGCACAGCCUACAGCUAGAAUAUACAAGUAUGUACUGGGGGGCCUUGGGGAGGAGGAGGAAAAAAAUCAGUCUAGCAUUUAUAAGCCAAGAUGGCACUGACAUUCUUGGGUAGGAUUCCUGACUUAUCCUACAGAGGGAGAAGAAGAACAGCCCGGUCACUCCAUUUAUCCUGGGGAAAAUUCCAGAUGGCUCUUCAGGCCGAUGAGAAUGAACUACUCGCUAGAAUACAGACGACACCCCCUAAUAUUUUUUUCACUAUUAACUUGGAGCACCUGGAAGGAAGGAAGGCCAACCUCCCACCGUGUCUGCCCUGCUUUUUAAGUGAGUUCACUGGGGAGAAACUGUCGCAUUGCAAAACUUGAGAAAUGCCUGC